GACGAACUGUCCUAACGUUGUUCGGAAUCACUGGGCUUAAAGGGCGCGUAGGCGGUCCGACAAGUCAGGGGUGAAAUCCUGCAGCUUAACUGUAGAAGUGCCUUUGAUACUGUCGGUCUUGAGGGAGAUAGGGGUGUGCGGAACUUCCAGUGGAGCGGUGAAAUGCGUUGAUAUUGGAAGGAACGCCGGAGGCGAAAGCGGCGCACUGGAUCUCUUCUGACGCUGAGGCGCGAAAGCUAGGGGAGCAAACGGGG
rnacentral:rRNA from 1 species